GUGCUCUGGUUUUUCUUCUCAGAUCGUGUAAAUAUUUCACUUGUUACUAAAUAUUUCCAUAGAGAGGAACAUUUGAGUUUGUAACUAAUUUUUUGAGGCUCUUAUUGUCAUCUGAU
rnacentral:snRNA from 1 species